rnacentral:rRNA from 1 species
CAACUUGAGAGUUUGAUCCUGGCUCAGAACGAACGCUGGCGGCAGGCUUAACACAUGCAAGUCGAGCGCCUCGCAAGAGGAGCGGCAGACGGGUGAGUAACGCGUGGGAACAUACCCUCCGGUUCGGAAUAACUCAGGGAAACUUGAGCUAAUACCGGAUACGGUCGAGAGGCGAAAGAUUUAUCGCCGGAGGAUUGGCCCGCGUCCGAUUAGCUAGUUGGUGUGGUAAUGGCGCACCAAGGCGACGAUCGGUAGCUGGUCUGAGAGGAUGAUCAGCCACA